ACCCGCUGAACUUAAGCAUAUCAAUAAGCGGAGGAAAAGAAACCAACAGGGAUUGCCCUAGUAACGGCGAGUGAAGCGGCAACAGCUCAAAUUCGAAAUCUGGCGUCUUUGGCGUCCGAGUUGUAAUUUGCAGAGGGCGCUUUGGCAUUGGCAGCGGUCCAAGUUCCUUGGAACAGGACGUCACAGAGGGUGAGAAUCCCGUACGUGGUCGCUAGCCUUUACCGUGUAAAGCCCCUUCGACGAGUCGAGUUGUUUGGGAAUGCAGCUCUAAAUGGGAGGUAAAUUUCUUCUAAAGCUAAAUACUGGCCAGAGACCGAUAGCGCACAAGUAGAGUGAUCGAAAGAUGAAAAGCACUUUGGAAAGAGAGUUAAAAAGCACGUGAAAUUGUUGAAAGGGAAGCGCUUGCAGCCAGACUUGCCUGUAGUUGCUCAUCCGGGUUUUUACCCGGUGCACUCUUCUAUAGGCAGGCCAGCAUCAGUUUGGGCGGUUGGAUAAAGGUCUCUGUCAUGUACCUCUCUUCGGGGAGAACUUAUAGGGGAGACGACAUGCAACCAGCCCGGACUGAGGUCCGCGCAUCUGCUAGGAUGCUGGCGUAAUGGCUGU
rnacentral:rRNA from 1 species